rnacentral:rRNA from 1 species
UUAGGAAUAUUGGGGCAAAUGGGAGGAAACUCUGACCCAGCAACGCCGCGUGAAGGAUGAAGGUUUUCGGAUUGUAAACUUCUGAUCUGUGGGAAAAACAAAUGAUGGUACCACAGGAGAAAGCUCCGGCAAACUACGUGCCAGCAGCCGCGGUAAUACGUAGGGAGCAAGCGUUGUCCGGAAUGACUGGGCGUAAAGGGAGCGUAGGUGGCCUUUUAAGUGAAAUGUGAAAGCCCGGGGCUCAACUCCGGAAUGUCAUUUCAUACUGGAAGGCUGGAGUGCAGGAGAGGUAAGCGGAAUUCCUAGUGUAGCGGUAAAAUGCGUAGAUAUUAGGAAGAACACCAGAGGCGA